rnacentral:tRNA from 1 species
GUGAGUAUAAUAUAAUGGUAAUUAUAAUGAAUUGUGGUUUCAUAAAAACGAGUUCAAUUCUCGUUAUUCACC